rnacentral:rRNA from 1 species
AGACCCGAAACCCGGUGAUCUAGCCAUGGGCAGGUUGAAGGUUGGGUAACACUAACUGGAGGACCGAACCGACUAAUGUUGAAAAAUUAGCGGAUGACCUGUGGCUGGGGGUGAAAGGCCAAUCAAACCGGGAGAUAGCUGGUUCUCCCCGAAAGCUAUUUAGGUAGCGCCUCGUGAAUUCAUCUCCGGGGGUAGAGCACUGUUUCGGCUAGGGGGCCAUCCCGGCUUACCAACCCGAUGCAAACUGCGAAUACCGGAGAAUGUUAUCACGGGAGACACACGGCGGGUGCUAACGUCCGUCGUGAAGAGGGAAACAACCCAGACCGCCAGCUAAGGUCCCAAAGUCAUGGUUAAGUGGGAAACGAUGUGGGAAGGCCCAGACAGCCAGGAUGUUGGCUUAGAAGCAGCCAUCAUUUAAAGAAAGCGUAAUAGCUCACUGGUCGAGUCGGCCUGCGCGGAAGAUGUAACGGGGCUAAACCAUGCACCGAAGCUGCGGCAGCGACACUCAGGUGUUGUUGGGUAGGGGAGCGUUCUGUAAGCCUGCGAAGGUGGCCUGUGAGGGUUGCUGGAGGUAUCAGAAGUGCGAAUGCUGACAUAAGUAACGAUAAAGCGGGUGAAAAGCCCGCUCGCCGGAAGACCAAGGGUUCCUGUCCAACGUUAAUCGGGGCAGGGUGAGUCGACCCCUAAGGCGAGGCCGAAAGGCGUAGUCGAUGGGAAACGGGUUAAUAUUCCCGUACUUGGUGUUACUGCGAAGGGGGGACGGAGAAGGCUAUGUUGGCCGGGCGACGGUUGUCCCGGUUUAAGCGUGUAGGCUGGUUUUCCAGGCAAAUCCGGAAAAUCAAGGCUGAGGCGUGACGACGAGGCACUACGGUGCUGAAGCAACAAAUGCCCUGCUUCCAGGAAAAGCCUCUAAGCAUCAGGUAACAUCAAAUCGUACCCCAAACCGACACAGGUGGUCAGGUAGAGAAUACCAAGGCGCUUGAGAGAACUCGGGUGAAGGAACUAGGCAAAAUGGUGCCGUAACUUCGGGAGAAGGCACGCUGACACGUAGGUGAAGUGAUUUACUCAUGGAGCUGAAGUCAGUCGAAGAUACCAGCUGGCUGCAACUGUUUAUUAAAAACACAGCACUGUGCAAACACGAAAGUGGACGUAUACGGUGUGACGCCUGCCCGGUGCCGGAAGGUUAAUUGAUGGGGUCAGCGCAAGCGAAGCUCCUGAUCGAAGCCCCGGUAAACGGCGGCCGUAACUAUAACGGUCCUAAGGUAGCGAAAUUCCUUGUCGGGUAAGUUCCGACCUGCACGAAUGGCGUAAUGAUGGCCAGGCUGUCUCCACCCGAGACUCAGUGAAAUUGAACUCGCUGUGAAGAUGCAGUGUACCCGCGGCAAGACGGAAAGACCCCGUGAACCUUUACUAUAGCUUGACACUGAACAUUGAGCCUUGAUGUGUAGGAUAGGUGGGAGGCUUUGAAGUGUGGACGCCAGUCUGCAUGGAGCCGACCUUGAAAUACCACCCUUUAAUGUUUGAUGUUCUAACGUGGACCCGU